UCUUCCCUUCCCUUUGUUCUCUUGCAGAGGGUGUGGAAAUCCGUUCCCGUUAGGCGUAGGAAGGCCAGGACCUCACCACCCAAGGUCUUGGCACAGCCUGAACCCAGCCCAACUGAGCUCCAGGCCAAGGCUGACACCCCAGGGACUGAGGGCAUCACAGACACGGACACCACACCUGUUCAGUGCCUGCCUGAUGCCAAAAGCGGGGAUGCUGUGGGCACAAUUGCACGGGCUUGGGCCAAAGGCUUCAGGAAAAGUGGCCACAAGGGCUUUCUAUUGACUGCCCAGCCUCACAGCAGCGCUUGGCAGCUUCAGCCUGUCAUCCUGACUGACUUCCACGGCCGUGCCUGAGGGCAGA